rnacentral:rRNA from 1 species
CCUACGGGUGGCAGCAGUGGGGAAUAUUGCACAAUGGGGGAAACCCUGAUGCAGCGACGCCGCGUGAGUGAAGAAGUAAUUCGGUAUGUAAAGCUCUAUCAGCAGGGAAGAAAAUGACGGUACCUGAUUAAGAAGCCCCGGCUAACUACGUGCCAGCAGCCGCGGUAAUACGUAGGGGGCAAGCGUUAUCCGGCUUUACUGGGUGGAAAGGGAGCGUAGACGGCAGUGCAAGACUGGAGUGAAAGGCGGGGGCUCAACCCCCGGACUGCUCUGGAAACUGUACGGCUGGAGUGCUGGAGAGGCAAGUGGAAUUCCUAGUGUAGCGGUGAAAUGCGUAGAUAUUAGGAGGAACACCAGUGGCGAAGGCGGUUUACUGGACUGUAACUGACGUUGAGGCUCGAAAGCGUGGGGAGCAAACAGGAUUAGAUACCCCAGUAGUC